rnacentral:misc_RNA from 1 species
UUAUUUGUACCUUCAAGCAUUGCUUGGUGUUGGGUGUUUGUCUCGCCUUUGCGUGUAGACUUGCCUUAAAACAAUUGGCAGCCGGCGUAUUGAUUUUGGAGCGCAGUACAUCUCGCGCUUUGCACUUACAACGACGACGUCCAAAAGUACAUUUUAACACUCUUGACCUCGGAUCAGGUAGGGAUACCCGCUGAACUUAA